UAUUUCCUACGGGGGGCAGCAGUGAGGAAUAUUGGUCAAUGGGCGCGAGCCUGAACCAGCCAAGCCGCGUGAGGGAAGAAGGUACAGCGUAUCGUAAACCUCUUUUGUCAGGGAACAAAGGCGGGGACUAGUCCCCGGAUGAGGGUACCUGAAGAAAAAGCAUCGGCUAACUCCGUGCCAGCAGCCGCGGUAAUACGGAGGAUGCGAGCGUUAUCCGGAUUUAUUGGGUUUAAAGCGAGUGCAGGCGGUUCCAUAAGUCUUAUUUGAAAGAC
rnacentral:rRNA from 1 species